UACGGGAGGCAGCAGUGGGGAAUAUUGCACAAUGGGCGCAAGCCUGAUGCAGCCAUGCCGCGUGUAUGAAGAAGGCCUUCGGGUUGUAAAGUACUUUCAGUCGUGAGGAAGGUGUUAAGGUUAAUAACCUUAGCAAUUGACGUUAGCGACAGAAGAAGCACCGGCUAACUCCGUGCCAGCAGCCGCGGUAAUACGGAGGGUGCGAGCGUUAAUCGGAAUUACUGGGCGUAAAGGGCACGCAGGCGGUUAAUUAAGUUGGAUGUGAAAUCCCCGGGCUUAACCUGGGAAUGGCAUUCAAGACUGGUUAGCUAGAGUCUUGUAGAGGGGGUAGAAUUCCAUGUGUAGCGGUGAAAUGCGUAGAGAUGUGGAGGAAUACCGGUGGCGAAGGCGGCCCCUGGACAAAGACUGACGCUCAUGUGCGAAAGCGUGGGGAGCAAACAGGAUUUAGAUACC
rnacentral:rRNA from 1 species